UACAUCACAAACAACUGUAGU
ensembl:piRNA 21ur-4438 ncRNA